rnacentral:lncRNA from 1 species
AAGUGGAAGUCUUGUGAGAGGUUUUGAAGCGUUAACGGGAGGGAACUUACCUGAGUUGUGGUAUAUAUAAUAGAAUGAUAGGAUCCAUAACUGUAUUUGUUGACAGAGCAAUAGGGUAAAUCUUAUAGGAAGAAAUGCACUAUAACAGCCAACUCCUACCGCCUUGAAUAUAACACUUGGUCAUUAGUAGUGUCUUGGCGAUUCGAAAUAAUGUAUUUGAAGCCUAUAAAACAGAGGAUCCAGACCGAAUUAAGUUAGUUACGGAAGCCAGCAGUAUUCUUGAUUUCUUGUGGAAUGACUUGUUUACUUACUUUGUGGGGUGGACUAGACAUACUAGGUAGGGUCGGCUGGUUUACUUACUUAGCUGACUUACUUGUUUCAUGAAGUUACUAGGCUAUGAAGCAGUAAUUGAACUUGCACCGAGGCAAACAGCACAGGAAUCCUUCUUUGAGCCCAGAGCAGAGGAAGUAGAUGAGCUAGGGAGAUAAAAGCAGUAUUUGUUGUCUGAGUGGAGGCACGUGUCAUAAAUAGAGGUCGGGUCGGGCCUUCAGAUAGAGUUAGUGCGGGUCGGGGUUAACACUUAAUAGAGGUGUCGGGUUGGUUAAGAGUAAGAUCAGAGGCAAUGACAUUCUUCACUGAUAGUCGAGGUAGGCAAUAAAGUCAUACUGAUAGGUCGGUUCGGGUGUUCCUGUUAAUAAGUUAGGCUCGGGAGUUGACUGUUCUUAAAGAGAAGUGUGGAAUACCGAGGUUAAGCCUAUUCUUGUUUAAGUAGAAUACCUAGUAGUGAGUUGGUUCAGGGCAGUACUAUCUUUCUCUUCUGCACUAGAUGCGCUAGCAAGGACUUGCUCAUAAAGGGGAGUUUCAAUUGAGAAUAGUUGACAGCUGUAGUCUGUAUUUCUUGUUGAAUAAGAUUAGUUAGUUGCCAGAGCUAUAGGGGAGAGAUGGAAGUGACUUUCAAGUCGAGGCCCUUAUAGUAAGUUGCAGAGUCAAUUCCAUGCUUUGAUGCAUUGAGAUAGAAGCCGAGAGUUGGUUACUUCUGUAGUCAAGAAUUUGUUACUGCCUUUACCGACGCAGUUAGUUAAGGAGGUAUUGUAACAACUUCGUUCUCUAAUAUUCUAGUACAGGGUUGGUUACCAGAUACAGGGUUGGUUACUUCUUUAACAAGUGGUUCAGGUUCAGUUCCAGGCAAGUUGUAAAGAGAAUCACCAGUUCCGGGUCAAGUGCCAUAACAGUACUACGGGUUGGGUUGGUCGCUCCUUCUCGAUAGUAAGAAUGAAAGUGAACCAGAGGUGGAGGAGCCUUAGAAGGGACUUAAGAAUAAGGGACCGGUGCUUACUUGUCUAUUGGACACCGAACCUAGAUUGAAGUUUUACUAGACAAUAGGGUAAGUUGUUAGGUAUCCUGACUCGGAAAUAUCUCAAUCACUUGAUGCUGACAAUGGCACUCGAACUUAUGAUUAUAUAGUUGACUUUCCUCGCCUCUCCUCUAAACUGUAUUCCUCUCGGCUUCCUCUUCGAACUCAGGCUUGGACUCCUUAGGCCAAUUCUUACCUACCGAGGGCAUUCUAGGACUGCUUAGGGAAAUUCUGGACUUCAGUACUAUAAGCGGGGGACUUAAUAAGUAGGGGCUUGAGCCUAGUAACAGACUUCAUAACUAGUAGUGGGAAGCGGGGAAGACUUAAGAAAUAUGGAUCAAGUACUAGUUUGAUUCUGUAAAGGGAGACUCCUUUGACAGGGGAGAAGUAGAUGAGCUAGAGAUAAUCCGAAGUUAGGCAUCUUGUUAGGUCACAAAAGUACCCAGUUUGCCAGUCCAGGCCCAACAGAAGAAGUUCUUAAAGUGGAAUACUGAGUUGAAGUCUAAGUCCCAUCCCAUACUAUUUCUACAUUUGCUAUGAGGCAAGGCCAAGCAACGGCGCAAGCCGCUGCGCGGCAGCAACCAAAUAGGUAGUUAUAACAAGUUAUAAACAAGCUAUGUGUUCGACCAAGCAACUACUAAUGACCAAGGCACGACUAAUGUGCCGCGGUAGGAGCCUGUGUUAAACGGUAGCGAGUUAAAAGAGCGGCAGUGUUGUUUCACGGGAAAACGGAAAAAUCGAAUUCCCAAUGGGUGAUCCAGGAGGGAAAUGACCUUGGCUAUCAAAAAACCCGGGAAAACGGAAAAGUUGAGGAUCAAUCUUAUGGUCCAGGAGGGAAAUUGCCAAUGCUACCUUUUUUCUCGGGAAAACGUAAACUUUGCAUGGAAAUCGGGUGCUCCAGGAGGGAAAAGAACUUCACAACCCAAAAACACGGGAAAACGUGAACUGCACUGAUCAGGUUGACUUACUUGCUAGUUAGGGUAGUUAAGGGAUAGGCCAGGAAGCUAAGCUAUAAGUAAAGAAGUAAAGAAUAGAACUGGGGCUGGCAAGGCUAAGCCCAGUCUCAGAUCACUAAGAAUGAAACCAAUGACAACCAGUCUUCUACUCAUAAGACAUAGAAUGGAACGAGUCAGGGCAAGAACCAAACCGUACCCAAUCAGACUGCGACCACUGCACCUAAGAACCAAACCCAUAUGCCUCAGAAUCAACCUAGUCAGUUACAGAACCAAACACAGAGCUACCGGAACCUGUGCUAUCAACUGAGAAUGGAGCUGAUCGGGGUAAGCCUGGAACAACUACCAACCAGACUGAUCCUUAGGCAUACUGAGAACGAAACCCAUAAGUCACAGAACCAAACCGUUGCUGCCCGGACUUCAACGAGGUAGUUACAAGCUAAGACAACUACUAUCAAGAAUCAAACAGGAGCCUCACCAGGAGUGAAAGUGGAAAGUAAGAGCCAAGCCGGAAAGCGUAUACUAGGAGCCAGACCAGAGUUCAAAGAUACUGCUCGAGUGUGAGUUGAAGACCAGUUAGUAGGAGUCGUCUCCCUUAUUCUUAUGAGCUAGUAUAGUUAUCAGAAGAUUGGUCAUAACCAUAGCUAGUUCCAUUCCUUUACUUACUAGUGAAAUCCCCUUCAUUAGUUGUGGAAUCCCUUUAAGUACAGCUCCUGGUGGUACUGCCCCUGGUAGUCCUGUUUCAAAAGAGACUGUUUGAGUUGUUGGUGAA